GGUGCGGGUGGAAAGUUUUUCGGUCAAGGAUGGACUCGCGGCCUAUCAGCUUGUUGGUGAGGUAAUGGCUCACCAAGGCGACGACGGGUAGCCGGCCUGAGAGGGUGACCGGCCACACUGGGACUGAGACACGGCCCAGACUCCUACGGGAGGCAGCAGUGGGGAAUAUUGCACAAUGGGCGAAAGCCUGAUGCAGCAACGCCGCGUGGGGGAUGACGGCCUUCGGGUUGUAAACCUCUUUUAGUAGGGAAGAAGGACUUCGGUUUGACGGUACCUGCAGAAAAAGCACCGGCUAACUACGUGCCAGCAGCCGCGGUAAUACGUAGGGUGCAAGCGUUGUCCGGAAUUAUUGGGCGUAAAGAGCUCGUAGGCGGUUUGUCGCGUCUGCUGUGAAAACCCGAGGCUCAACCUCGGGCCUGCAGUGGGUACGGGCAGACUAGAGUGCGGUAGGGGAGAAUGGAAUUCCUGGUGUAGCGGUGGAAUGCGCAGAUAUCAGGAGGAACACCGAUGGCGAAGGCAGUUCUCUGGGCCGUUACUGACGCUGAGGAGCGAAAGCGUGGGGAGCGAAC
rnacentral:rRNA from 1 species